UGGGGAAUAUUGGACAAUGGGCGAAAGCCUGAUCCAGCCAUGCCGCGUGUGUGAAGAAGGUCUUCGGAUUGUAAAGCACUUUAAGUUGGGAGGAAGGGCAUUAACCUAAUACGUUAGUGUUUUGACGUUACCGACAGAAUAAGCACCGGCUAACUCUGUGCCAGCAGCCGCGGUAAUACAGAGGGUGCAAGCGUUAAUCGGAAUUACUGGGCGAAAAGCGCGCGUAGGUGGUUUGUUAAGUUGGAUGUGAAAUCGCCGGGCUCAACCUGGGAACUGCAUUCAAAACUGACUGACUAGAGUAUGGUAGAGGGUGGUGGAAUUUCCUGUGUAGCGGUGAAAUGCGGAGAUAUAGGAAGGAACACCAGUGGCGAAGGCGACCACCUGGACUAAUACUGACACUGAGGUGCGAAAGCGUGGGGAGCAAACA
rnacentral:rRNA from 1 species